rnacentral:lncRNA from 1 species
AUGGCCUCCGAGAUCCCGUCCAGUUUCAUCAAGGGCCGCGGCAGCUCCUGGAAACCGGCGGAGAUCGUGGACCUGCUGAGCAUCUGGGGUGCCGAGAAGGUGCAGCAGCAGCUCCGCCGCAGCCACCGCAACUUCGAGUGCUUCGUGGCCAUCGCGAGGGAGAUGCGGCGCCGCGGCCACAAGCGCACGGCCGAGGAGUGCCGCCGGAAGACCAAGGGCCUCCGGUUGGACUACAAGCGGGCGCUGAGCCUCGACGGGCCCGCCUUGCUGAGCGGCAGCAAGGCCAUCUGCCCCUACUUCGAGGAGCUGCACUCGAUCCUGCGCGGGGACCCGUCGGUGACGCCCAGGCGCCUGGGAAAGAGGCGGCCCGAGGCCGAGGAGGGGUCGGAGGCGGGACCCAGCGCCGCCUUUUCCCUCGGGCCCCAAGACCUUUUGCUGGACGAGCUGCCGGGCCUCGACGUGCAGGGGCACCGCGACCCCUCACCAAGCGGCGAUGAUGAUGGGGAGGGCGACCUUGACGCACAGGGCGGUGAUGCCCAAGGGGUUGACCGCAGCUCUCCAAAGGAAGGGACAGGCGAGGAUAACAGCAACCACAGAGGAAGCAACGAACAGGAUUACGAUGUGGGCCCUCCUCCAAGACCUAUGGAACCCUCCUCUUCAGGUUUGCCGACUUGCGGCUUAGCAGCUUACCAGUCUCCAGCCACCAGACUUGCCGCCCUUAGGACCAAACGGAAGGGCUUUGGCCCACGGGAACUUGUGGAACGUGUUAUUCGGCACGCAACCACUGAGAGCCGGAGAGCAAGGGAAGCUGCCCAGGAGAUGGACCAAGCGCUGCUCCGACAGAGCACAGAGGAGCUCCAGAGAAUAGAGAGGGCAGAGCAAGAGUGCAGAGAGCAUAGGGAAAGGUUGCUGUCCAUUUUUGAACGUCAGACGGCCCUGCUUGAGGCCCUGGUUUCCCACUUGUGUACCAACCCGGGUGCCGGUGACCCACGCGCCUCCAACAGGACACAGCCUCAGAUGGGUUCUCCAAAGCGUGGUCUUUCCCCUCCCUGUGACCCAGAGAUGGCCGAGCACUGGCGCACAGCAAGUGGGGGGGACGUGAGUUUUGAUGUGGGGGUCGCCCACCCGGCCACAACCCCUCCUCAGACCUCUACCCUCGCAGCAGCAUGCCAAGAGCCUGAGACAGCCCACAAGGCACCGGAGAUAUUUUCCCCUUGAUCCCGUUACAGACAGGACAGUGAGGUUCUUUCAUGUUUUUAUACGUAAACCACCGUCUCCCAAGAAGUUAUAAAACCCAUUGGCACUUCUUAAAUAAAUUGGAUUAAAAAUAAAUGGCA